rnacentral:lncRNA from 1 species
AAUGGCAUUGUGAUUUAUUUCCCAGGAGCCUCAGAGCUCAUGGAGGGGAAAGAGAGGCUUCAAGGCUCAUCUGCUUGGCUGGAGAUACCAGUGGAUUCUGAAGAAAAGAAUCCCAUUUCUAUCCAAUCAGCAAACAUACUCUUCAGAGGAGCCCCUUCAUAUACCCUGUGCUAUGUUCAGAGUCUAGGGAAAGAUGGAUAGGAAAUCUGAACAGUUUGAAAUGUGGGAACAGCAGACAAAUGCAUUCAUUCUUUCAUUUACUCAUGCUUAUUCCUAUAUUAUCCCUUCAAUCAUGCAUUGUAUUUCCAUAUUUAUGCAUGCAUUGAACAAACAUUUCUGAAGUGCCAGGUGCCCUGCUAGACCCUCAGUCUGCGGAGAUGAAUGCACACACCUGAGUAGAUGCUGCUCUUGAGCAUCUUACAAGUUGGAUAGGGAGGUCUGAUUGGGAUUAUCAACUGGGUAGCAUUUGCACUGGGCUUUGGGGGACAUGUAAGAGUCCACCAGCUAGACUAAGUCAGGAAGAGCACAGAAAGUCAAAGGAAUACAAACAAAAGCAAGUAUUCUUUUGGUCUCAGCAUUGCAGUACUAGUAGAUACAGAAUUUGUUAGUAGAGGUAAGACCUUUAUGCUGAACCAGGGAGCAUGAUGCAUAUAAGAGUCCUGAUGAGUUAGAAAAAAGCUUUAUUCUGAAUCAGGAUUUUAGGAAAACAACUCAAGUGGCAUGUCUGGGAGAUGGUAGGUUGUGGGGAGGACUGUGCUGGAGGGUGGAGGGCUGAGAGUGCCUAGCAGCAAUGCAGGUAAGACACUGGCAGCAGCUGAGAUGGAGAAAACUCAGGCAUGAGGAAACUUCAGGAGGCAAACCUCAAGUUACCCAGCUCAGUGAGAGGAACCAUCAUAGACUUUGUUUUCUAAGCCAGCAGCCUGAGAUUUCCCCUUGUGGCCAAUACAACACCCACUUUUAUAAUCUUGCUUAGCUUUGUUGCCUUUGAGAUUCUGCUUACACGUUGGUUUUUGUCUGCUUGCUUGUCUUCUAAAGGGUUCUUCAAUAAAUCCCCAUGUCAGACUCGACUUCUAGAGAAGCCAACCCAAGUUAGCUGUAUGAGAAGCAGUCCCAGGAGACAGAGAUUCAACCCAAGUUAGUUGUAUGAGAAGCAGUCCCAGGAGACAGAGAUUAGGAUGGGCUCUGGAGUUGGGUCACCCAUCACUAAACUGGAAAUAAGGAUAUAUCACUUUGGGGAGGAGGAGGAAUAUAGUCCCUGGUGUGCUGUUGCAGCACGAACACCAAGAUGCUCACCUAUGGUGAAAUAGGAUGGAAUGCAGGUGGAAGGUUAUACACUGGCUGGGAGAAAUAGUCAUGGACUGUGAGCAUGUGGCUGUUGUUGGGAGCAAUUGAUGUAUUGAAGAGAAAAUGACAGGCUCCCUGGUCAGCUAAUCACUAACAUAAGGCAAAGCAUGAAAGCCAGAGGGCAUUGUUGGUAGCAUCUGAAAACACACUCAUCCCUUGCAGCUGGAGAACAGACUCAGCUGACAGGCAGACAUAGAAGUUAAUUGUAAGCAUGGCAGGACUUCAGAGAAGCCUGAAUAAUCAAGUUGGACAUUUCUGCUAUAACAACUUUGGGGUCACAAAAGGAGGAGGGCUUGAGAUUGGGAUGGGGACAUCUGUGCAGAUGCACUUACAAACCUUGAGUCCUUAGACUCCCCUGAACAAUCUGCACCUGAAGAAACAGCUCAACCAUGUAAGAAACUACAUAACAGAAAGUAACCUAUAGGAUACGCUUGCCCUCAAAAUUGACCCCUCCACUGCCCCGGCCACCAGAUGCAUAUCUAGGGUAAGACCUACAGCAUGACCCACCGGGGCUAAAAAAUGGAAAGGAUUUGGCUUUAAAGGAGCUGCAGGAUGUGGCUACUCUUUGUCAGCAGGAACUAUAAAGGCACACUCGGGAAUGCUGGAUAGAGGGACUUGAGGCAUUGUUUUGAUAUCUGCCUGAACGUUCCUUGGAAACUUGGAAAAACUGGCUUGUAGGAAAUGAAUUCCAGUUGCAGAAGCUGCUGCGGCUGACUGUGGCAAGGAGGAAUAUGCAAGUAGGGAACAGCACCACUUGAAACCUGGGUGGCACUGUCAUAUAUAGACCAGGUGACCAUAGGAGACGCUGUUAUAGAACCAGGUUCCCCAUGGCAAAAGACGUGAAAGAAUCGCAGGGCAGCAGAGGCUGAGGGGAAAGCACCCAGGCUUUAGACCACAGCUGGACACAAUUUGCCAUAAAGGGUAGUGAGAUUUGGAGGAGUCACAGGUUACCUGACCUUCACGGAUCUACGGAGAUGGAAAUGAGGAUGAACAAUCCUGAGGAUAAGACAGAUGGGCCUCCAGCCUGGCUAAGUUUUGUAUUUUUAGUAGACAGGGUUUUGCCACGUUGGUCAGGCUGGUCUCGAACUCCUGACCUCAGGUGAUACACCAGCCUCAGCCUCCCAGAGUGCUAGGA